CCAGGAGGAUCUCCCCAGGAGGAGAUGUUGGCUCUCCCUGGACCCAGAAAACGGAAAGCUGACGGCCCACGGGCCUCUCAAAAGGACCCCCAGGGAUGAGGGUCUUCCUUGUGUGUGUGGGCGGGGCAAGGGGAGACUCUUCGUGAUCAGAGGGUCUGGUCCCUAGUCCCUGGACACCCACACGGCCAAGGGCUCCCAGGACCGUGCGGGUUCCCUCCAUCCCCCACCGGAGGCCGACCGGGGCGCGGGGGGUCGGGGGGAGGAGGGAGACCCAGGGAGGCCCGACUUCCAGUCAUCCCCCCGCCCCCUCCUCGCUGGGACCCUAGGGCCCGCGCACAGCUGCCCUGACUCCGACUCCAUGCGCUCUGAGUGGAAGAAAGACCAACCCCAAACAAAGCCGGGCGCCAGCGGCGGGAGAAGUAGCCCGGGCCUCGGAGGGGCCGGGGGUGGGCGCUCGGGAGGCGGGGCGCGGCCGCAGGAAGUGCUGAGCGGGGCUGAGCGCGGCUGUGGUCCCGACCCGCCGGCCCUGCAAGCCCCCACCCGGCGCCGGCGGCCCUCGCUGCGGAGCCCGCGGCCGGUGACUUCUUCCUGGUCCCCUGGGAUAGGGUCUCCUGUCACAGCCAUCGAAGUGCCAUCCUCUCGUGGGCAGGUGGGCUCAGGUACAGAGACCGCGAGACUGUCUCCCCCGCUCUCGGACACACGGGCUCUGACCGGUGUAUUCUCCCGGGGCACCCACGUCGUGUCCUUUAUGCAAGGGUCUCUUGGCUGCAGUGUGACCCCCAGCCCAGCCCUGUGGCUCAGCUACCUCGGUUCUCAAGCAGGCCAAGCCAGGGACGUUUCAGCUCCUUCCAGCGGUCCCAUUCUGACCCCUUCAGAGGGACUGUCCACACACCAGGAAUAGGUCAGGUGCAUGGAAAUUAAAUAGGAGAGGGGGACAGAGAAGGACACACACGGGGCAGCGGGCCAGGGGCAGGGGGAGCUGCAACCAGGGCUCACUUGAAGCUGAAACUAAGUUGCACGUGAAGCCACUUAGACUCUAUUUCCCUUUCCAGCUCUGACCAUCACACAGGUCUGGCCUCUUGCUGACCAAGAACCCAGAGGAGGAAAGGGGCACUUAUUUAACUGAAGCGGUGGGUGGGCCUGGGCUUUGUUUUUACUGUAGAAUCGCCAAGCCCAUUCCCCCACCCCCAGGUAUGGGGAGCGCCCCCCUUAGGGAAUGGAGCGUCAGGGCACCCCCAGCCUGAGCUUGUGCUAAUGGGAACAGGCAGAGAAUGAGGUUGGGGAGCUCCCGGGAGUGGACAGGGUGGGGGAAGGGAGAAGUCACGCUAAGUGAAACCAGCAGGAUUGUCCCCUGGCCCUGGCCUGACUGUCUCGCCUCUUCUGCAGCCACUGGGUCCAGCCUUUGCUCACACUGUCCCCUGUAGGGUGAGCAGCCUCCCUUUCUUUUUGGCCUGCAGAAACCCUGCCUGUCCUCAAGGACUAGGUUAAAAGCCUUCCCACUGCACCCCAUCCUAGGCUGGCAGAACCAAGGCCACAUCCUCUCGGCCCCCACCAGGGACCUGAGGCUACGUCUGUGCCUGCGCCACUGUGAGCUCCUAAGGACCAACUCUAGCAGUUCUAAGUAGGGCUCCCGGCGCACGGUGGGGACUCAUGGCAUGUUUGUUGAAUGAGUGAAGUGCCUGCCCCCUGCUACCCGCCACCCACUGCCCAGCGUGGUCCACUCCUCUCUGCUCUCUCAGCCUGGCCAGCCCUGCCCUGCCCACCGGGACUCCCAGCGCCUCUGGCCGGCCACUGGGCUCUGUCUGCCUGUGCCCCACCUUCUCUGCACUUCAAGGGGUGGGGAGAAGCCAUUGAAGAGACAGGGAUCCCCAAGGCUGAGCCCAUGACCUUGUGCAUCUGGCCUGAGAGCAUCCCCAAAUCCAUCACCUCACUAUCAAGGCCUUGGACACUGUAUUUCUGAGAUGUCCUAGAGCCUGAACCCAUGGGCCUACUGGCCCCCCCGAACCCCAGCUUUGUUCUGCAGCCAGAGCCUUGGCCUGGAGGCCCAGCAUCCUAAGACUGCAUCACCAAGCUGUCUGGGAAAUCUAUGUCCUAAAUGUGGAUUUUGUGCAGAGGACACGCCCACCCUGGUGCUCCACCCCUACCCCCACUGGCUCAUGUACAUCUGUUCAGAUGCAAAGGGUAAUUGCAGUGCAGGGGGCCAUGGACUUGGAGAACUCGAAGGGGCUUUGAAGCCACAGACUCCAAGUGUGGUCCCAAGACCAGCAGCGGUGGCAGCAUCUGGGAGGGUGACCAAUGCCCCCACUUUGCCCAGAUUGUCCAGGUUCAGCCCUGUAAAUCCAGGGUUCCGAGAAGUCCCUCAGUCCUACCCAAACCUGAGUUGGACCCCCAGGGCCUGACACCCUGGGCAUGGCGCUGAGCAUCCGUGGCCACCAGCCCUCCAGAGUCUGGUGCUCCUAGGAACCACUGCCCCACCCCUCAAAUGGGGAAACAGACCCCCAGGGAAGGGGAGCUGCUUGCCUCAACCCUAGGCAGCUGCUAAGGGGCUGAGCCAGGAGUCCAGUUAUUCAGCCUGUUAGCAGCAGAAGAAAGGUACUGAUAAGGACCCAGGCAAACUGCUGUGGUCAGUGGGCACUCGGUCAGCUAGAGAAGACGGGACAGCUGCCUUCAGAGAGGCUAGGAUCUCGCUGAGCCGGGAGCACCUGGCGAAGCAGCAAGGGGCUGGAGCGUCAGAAGCAAGGGCAGCCAGGCCAGGCCCUAAGGGAGGAGGCAGCAGGCAGGCAAUGAGGCCAAAGAGGAGAUGACCUUGCAGGCAGUUAGGAGGCUAAAGAAAAGACGUCCUUGGCUGAAGUGGGGCUUGGGGAGGCGCAGUCACCUCUUUGUACCCACAGACGUCUCUAGGACCCUAUGGCAGCGGUGAGUCCCACCCCAUCUGCAGUGUCUCUUCUCACAUGCUUUCACAGACCUUUGUCCCCACCGCUCCCUCUACCACAUCAGGGUAAAGUCAGCCAUGGGCAAUAGACUAUUCAAACAUGUACCUUCAAGAAGCUACAAGCACGGAGAGGUCAAGUAACUUGCCCAAAGACACACAGUGGAGAAAUGACAAGGCCCGGUUGCACAUCUAGGCAUCUGGUUCCAAACUGCUUCUGACACUUCUUUAGGGCCCUGUGUCCAGUGGGGGUGCAGUGGGGGAAGGAGCCCUGAACGGGGUGGGGGGGGGGCAGGAAACUGCCACCGCCAAUUAGUCAUGUGACUCGAGAGAGAGAUCAUUUAAUGACGUCUGUCUUAACCCCGACGUAUGCGAACUUCCGCAUCCCUUCUGAAAGACGUUAAAUUAAGUGAGCCCCGAGGUUCCCGCUGGCCCCGACGCUCUGUGUUCUGUCUUCUCGGCCACCGAUGGCUGAAACCUUACCCUUAGAGAUGUGUUUCUUUUUGUUAAACGCUGUCGUCUGUCAUCUGCCUGAACGCCUCCUUUUUUGGUUUGGCCAUACCUGUUGCAGGCAGAAGUUCCCAGGCCAGGAAUCAAACCUGAGCCACAGCAGUGACAAUAUGCCCAAUCCUUAACCACUAGGCCAUCAGGGAGCUCCUGAAUGUCCCUUUUAAAAAUACACUUUCCUUCAGAGGAUCCUGACUUGUUGGUUGAGGGUCUAGAGAAGGUUCUGGUGUGUGAGCCCAGUGGGCUCCGGUUGGGAGCGGAGGGCCAGGCAAAGGGAGAAGAGAUGCAGACGGGAGAGGCUGGGCCCUAAACAGUCAAUUUACCUGCAGCCCAGUGGCCGGAGCAUCCCUUGUCAGGGCUUCCCGUGUAAUAGCUCCCUGUCCAGCAGCCUGCCAACCCCAUCUAUCACCGUUUUUUUAGACUUUUUUUUAUAGGCUUCCUUUUUUCUCCUUCUGUAUUUUUUUUCCCCACCACCCUAUCUCUCCGACUCCAUCAGAGAAAAAUGGGUUUUGUCUUUUUUUAACAAGAAGACAAAGUCUUAAAUUACCUUCUUCAAGGUCUGCAAAUAGAAAUCCCAAAUAAGACAGCCACCUCUUCUUUUCUCCCUUCCUCUCUCCCUGUCUCAGGAGCCCGUGAGCUUGAAAUAAAACACAGAGCAGUGGCCCGGGAGGAAGUAAU
rnacentral:lncRNA from 1 species